CAACCGCUGGCGUAAAACGUGGAUGUUG
rnacentral:ncRNA from 1 species